GCGGCGCGGAACAAGCCCCGCAGGGCCUUCCCUGGCCGCCAACACACCACUCCCGGAGCUGAUUCCCUGUGCCCAGCUCCUUUCUUGGCGAGGCUUCAGUCCCUUAGUCGGCCUCAGUCUGUCCACCUUCGGAGAGGUCUGAGCGCUAGCCGGAGACAGGUAGACACCGAGAAGUGACAGAACCCAGAGGAAGCUGGAGAGAGGCAGCGAGGAAACGAGGGCCCGGCGGGCAGCAGCAUGAAAUUCAGCCCAGUGCCCUACCUGCUGCCUCUCCUGCCCGCGCUGGUCCUCAGCACCAGAUGGCCAAAUAGGAACGGCUCCGGUCUGCAGCACCCAGCAAGACCAACGCAGAAGGCAGGAGAGAGAAAAAGAGAAAGGAAGAAAGAGAGAUAACACAAAGGGAACAAAUAUAAAUCACUGACUUUUUUCUUUGGAGUCUCCUUUACCAAGAGCAAAAAGAAUCUUGAUAGUGAGAUUUCUGUCUAUGCUUGUGGCCCUCAGAGAAGCAUUUCAAUAGAUUAUUCAUCUGUAAAACUGGAAUGGGGAGAGAAGAUCCUCUGUCAACCUUAAGAUGCAAGCUGUGCUAUAUAAUAGUUGAAAGGACACAGAAAAAUAUUUAGGACAAUUAAAGCAAGCUACCAUUCUAGACAUAGGGAUUAUAAAUAAAUUGAUUUUGAUAUUGA
ensembl:lncRNA LINC02726 long intergenic non-protein coding RNA 2726